AAGUCGUAACAAGGUUUCCGUAGGUGAACCUGCGGAAGGAUCAUUACCAAUUAAUCCAAAAACACUUUAACCCGUGUGAACUGUGGCAUUGUUUGUCCUUGGGGUGGCCGUUUUGUAUUUGCAAAAUGUUUGCUGCCCCACAUUUGAUUAACACAUUCUCAUUUUUGUGGCAUCUUAGUGUCUUACAAUAAAUUGACAACUUUUAACGGUGGAUCUCUUGGCUCGU
rnacentral:misc_RNA from 1 species